GAUCCUGGCUCAGGAUGAACGCUAGCGGCAGGCUUAACACAUGCAAGUCGAGGGGCAGCAUAAUGAAGUAGCAAUACGGAAUUGAUGGCGACCGGCGCACGGGUGCGUAACGCGUAUGUAACCUACCUUUAACAGGGGGAUAACACUGAGGAAUUGGUACUAAUACCCCCAUAACACCUUAAGAGGCAUCUUUUUGGGUUGAAAGUUCCGGCGGUUAGAGAUGGACAUGCGUUGUAUUAGCUAGAUGGUGAGGUAACGGCUCACCAUGGCGACGAUACAUAGGGGGACUGAGAGGUUAACCCCCCCACACUGGUACUGAGACACGGACCAGACUCCUACGGGAGGCAGCAGUGAGGAAUAUUGGUCAAUGGACGCAAGUCUGAACCAGCCAUGCCGCGUGCAGGAAGACGGCUCUAUGAGUUGUAAACUGCUUUUGUACAAGGGUAAACCUCGGUACGUGUACCGAGCUGAAAGUACUGUACGAAUAAGGAUCGGCUAACUCCGUG
rnacentral:rRNA from 1 species